ACCGUUCAGAGGUAAACCUGAGAAACCCAAAAGAUCGAAUGAGGAGAUUCAUCGUCAAAAUAUUUGGUAUUAAUGUUAGUUAUGAUAUGGUAAAUAGUCCUUGUGGCUAGUAUUACUGUACAUUCUAGCAUUAUUUUGCCUUAUAUGUCUGCGUGCACUUCUCCUCUAGUAGAACGUCGCAACCCGUUAAAUGUUGUUUUAUGGCCCAAUUGAUUGCCUCUUUCUGCUUGCAGUGGGAGAUCAUUAGUGUUACCUGAUCAACUAUUUGACGGUAUUCAUAUGGUAUAAAGUCGCUAUUUUAUUAGCGUUAAUUUCAUCGCAAGUGCGGUUAAUUAUUGAUAGUACGGAUCUAAUGCCGUCGUUGAUAUUAACCAACUGUUGGUUGAUGAUAUACUUUAACUGACUUUAUUAUACCGGUUAGCGACGGUACUGCUUUGGGUACUCUCAGGA
rnacentral:rRNA from 1 species